AGGAAGAAAAAGUGAGGGAAGAAGUCACUUGUGAGACUGCCGCAGUUGAGAUCAUCUUCUACUUCUUCUUCUAUUCAAAGAUUAGUGGGAGCCAAUCAAAGGAGAUAGAAAAGCUAAAGGGGGAAGUAAGAACGUAUGAAAAACAAAAUGGAUGAAGUUUUCAAUUCUACCUUUAGAGAGAUGCAAGAGAAAAUGGAUUGCCUAAAGACACUAUCAAAUAUUCAGGUUGCGGGUGGCAAUAUUAACCCGGUUGAUGCAUUCUCUCCCAACCAUCGAUCAUCGAAUGCAAGUUAUGAACCUACAAGUGAAGGAAACCAUCGGACCAUCUAAAUUUUUGUAAACUAAAAACUUGUUUAAACUUUUUGUUCCUUAGUGUCUUAUUAUAUACUAUUGAAUAUAUAUUGAAUG